UGCGGGAUGAUGGGCCUGCCGGUUUUGCGACCUCCCUCUCUCUCUGUCCUGCUGCCGUGUGACACCGGCUGCUCCGGCCUCCGGCGGCCGCGGCAGAAAGCGAAAGCUUCCUCGAGACUGGAGUCAGCGCGACGGCGUGGCUCGCCCGGGUUCUUGUCAGCAGUCGCGCGUGCGAACUGACGGUGUGGAGGAGGGCGGCCGGCGACGCGUCCGGGUCUCCCGUCUGCGCGCCUAUCGCGUGUGAGUCCUCUGCUUAGCCUGUUGCUUCAAUCCCGAGGAAAUAUCGCUGAAAUCCUUCGGGUUAGACGGAAUGACCAAAUUAUUUUAUCGUCGGUUGUAAAUUUCGAUCUCGAGUGCGUUGAAAUCCAUAGCCCAGAACCACCGACCAGCAACAGCGAGCUCUGAAGGUUUUCACCCACAGCUCUCGCCAAAAACUAUGAAAUUAUCUUCGGGGAACUAAAAAGGCAUCAGCAUGAGAAGUAUUUGUUUCUUGAUUCUUUAGCUAGUAUCCUUGAUUCUCCAGCUAGUAUGAGUAGUAUUUUACUUCUUCAAUGGAAAUUCUAUGUUUUGGCUCGGUUUAAACUAAACCUGGGCAUACCAAAGGCCAGGCCGAGUUUUGGGCCGGGCUUUAGAAAGCCUGAACUGAAAAUCCCAAGCCCGAUCCCGGCCCGGUCCAGCCAAAAAAUCAAAUAUCCAGGUGCUGGGUCCGAAUGGACUAAAAAGAUGACUUACGGGCCGGGCCAGGUCGGGCCUCCAUGUAAAAUGGUUAUUUUUCCAAGCCCAAGCUCGGCCCAAAAACAAAUUAGGCCUAGUUUUCAAGCCUGAGCCCAGACCGAACAUAAAGCCCGGUCCGGCCGGCCCGGGUUCUUGGGGCCGGGCUCGGGUCGGGCUGCUCAUGCCCAAGUUUAGUUUAAACCCGGAAAAGGUUUCCGGCACAGGAAACGAAGUGAACAUAAGGUAUCAAGAGCUCACUCGCGGUCAUGUGCUAUGCAAUUGCCCUCUGUUUGUCGAGUGCCCCUCUUCCUAUGUAGUUUAGGGGGUUAAGGCAUAGCCCUAUGGCGUAUUUAGUGAUAGUUUUAUAGGAACAAAAACUUAUGAUUUUCUUCCUUUCCUUUCAUUAAGCAUCUCUAAUUUAGAGGAGUAAAAGGCCGAGUAUCCUAUAGAGGAGUACAUUUGUUCAUCUAAAAAAGUGUUGUUUCUAAGCAAAUCCUUGAACUUAACGGAGUAAAACUUACAUUUGGCUCAUACAUUUCGUCGAACACUUGUUAUGCACCUUUGUGGCGAGCGGUGACGAUGGUGACUAUACUGGAGUCACGAGUCCUUGUCCACUGUCGAACGCAUCGCACAAAUCUCACGUCGCCCACCUCAUCGUGUUGUUGCUCGUUGUCGCACGUGCCCCCCGGGUGGAUGCCGAGCGGGUACCCGGAGGCGCCAUCCGCUCCAUCCUCAUGGCGCGCUUCCUCCUGUGGCCGGAGACCAUGCCGUUGGAGCCCCGCGUGGAGCUCGGGGACGACCUGACCUUGCUGGAGAACUCUGUGCGCUCCAAUGUCGCCUCCAAGGCCAGGGACAAGAUCACGCACAACCUCCUCCACCACGGCCUCGCCGACUUCGACUAUGGGAGGAGCGCCGCUGGGCUAGGGGUAACGAGAAGGAGCACCUCUCUGGCUGGAGACAAUGAAAAGGAUGAAAAAAUAAAGAAAAAAUGGUCACCGAAAUCUCGUCGGAAUUUGGCGGCAGGAGGUCGACGAGGCUACAGGGUGUCAGCGGUGGCCGGCGGAGGCAACGAGGGCGGCGCCAGAAUGGAGUGGGCAGAGCGGUGGGCGAGAAUGGAGGCAAAAAAAAACUUCUACUCCACGGAUGGAAGGACGAGUAUUUGUCCUCCUCGAGGAGGUCGUGAACGACAAAUUAUCCUCCUUUAGCCAAUAUAAGGGAUCGACCAGGUGCCGGUUUGAGGAGGAAAACAAAAUUAUCCUCUCUAACCGAUUAUAUGGUAUCGGUUAGAGAUGCUCUUAGGGUACGAGGGGUUCUUAUUCCACAAGAACGAAAUUACCUUUUCACUAUACUAUGAAUUUUUAUUUGGGAAAGACAAUAUUUCAUACUAGAGGAUUCGGAUCUAUAACCACGAGUUUCAGUACACUAAGGUCUUGUAGCCCUUGGUAAGGACGCCAUAUUCAAUAGUAUUCCACAUGAAAUCCAUUCUAAAAAAACAAUUAGACAAACUUUGGGUUUGUGAGCCAAGGGAAGAUGAGGCGGAGGAUUGAGAGUUGUACAGUGAAUUGAUGGGAUGGAGGUGCUAGCUUGGCAAGAUAAGAAGUUUGAUGUGUAUGUAGAUUUGGCUCUAGUGUCACGACCCUUUUUGAGAUCUUAGAGCAUCUCCAACAGCAGCGCAAAACAAGCGUCGCGUCCAAAAAUAUCCCUUUUUAGCGCGCGCGACGCGGCGGGAUGCUCCAGCAGGCGCACAAAAACCGCGCGCGCGCUAAAACAAGUUGGGCGCGCUGUCCAUAGCCUCAUCCCGCGCUGGUAAUUUGGAGCGCACACUUCUGCGCGCGGCAGACUCGAGCGCGCGCGCAAACUUUCUCUCUUUCUUCCUCCUUCGCACCGCGCGCGCCGGCGCCCCUGCCACCAUGGACGCGUAGACCGGCACCCUGCUCACUCCGCUGUACAGCCGCGAGCCCCCCGCCGUCGCCGCCGAAAACCCUAGCGCAGCGAGCGUUGGCGCCGCCACCGCCGGAGCUCCGCCGACCGUCUGCCUCGCGCGCAGCCUCUUCUUGCCGCCGCAGAUGACCACGCCGACGGGUGGCAUCGCGCCGGCGCCGUCCCGUGCCGCCGCGGUGGGGUCGAAGAAAGGAAAAACAUCCGGCAAGAAGAAGGCGGCGGACGGUUCCGGGAGCUCGAAGACGAAGAAGAAUCUUGCAGGGCGGCGGACCGGCGCGGCGUCUACCGAAGCGCCGGCGAGCUCACUCAUUGAGCCGGCGGCCGACGCGCACCAUUUAUAUGUCUUGAACUUGUUUGCAUUUUGAACUUGGUUGGAUGAACUUGUGGGCAUGAACUUUUAUGCAUCUCAACUUGUUUGUGUCAAAUUCACAUGUUUUCAUUUUUGCGCGCGCUGCAUUUUUGUGCGCUGCUGGAGCUGCGCGCGUGCUGCAUUUUAGCGCUGCUGCUGGAGCCAGCGCUGCGCGACGCGCCAAACCAGCCGAAGCGCGCGCGGCAAAUAAAUUUUUUGGACGCGGCGCGAAGUGCGGCUGUUGGAGAUGCUCUUACUAUAGGAUUAUUAGCGAGAUGUUUUAGUGUUAGCUAUAGAGAAACUAAAUGAAUGAAAUAUAUCUAAGAAGAAAGGAAGCCGUGUAUUUGGGAAAAUCCAAAGAAAAAGGAGUUUGAAUCUGCCUUUCCCUUUCUCCCUCAGAAAAAUGACAUAAUCAAAAUCCGGUCCUAAGUAAUGUUAGCUGUGAAAUUGCACAGAAUUUUGGGAAAUUUGGGAGUAAAACAAAGAUUAUCUUAUUCAUUCAUUCAAAUAUUGUAUCCAUGACAAAGUACCAAUAACAUAGCAUCCAUCCAGUUUCCCUUCCAUGACAACAUGGGGACUCAACAGGAAUGGUAACAAAGGACAAGCAGAUGCAUGACACUCUCCGAUCUGUGCUCCAUCACUGAAUCGGGAACUGUAAAGCAGAGCGCUCGCCCACCAUUUAUUUCUCUGGUAAGGACAAAUCAUUUGCCCGAGGUCUCGCCCUCAACAGCCAAUGGGACAGUUGCAGCCUGCAGGCAACAAAGGCACGGAGAAAUUAAGUUCCAAGACAUGAACUGAGCUGAUAUUAUCAAGGUGGGGGAAUGCAAUGUCAUGACACAUACCAUUUUGCGGUACUUGAGGGCAUAGAGCAUUUCAAGGUAGCGACGAGUCUCGCGCCUGUCGAGGUUGGAGACGUACUUCCAGAAACCAUAGACACCAGAAAGGGUCAUCAGCCUCUCAGAGUACAGCUUCCAGGUGUACCUGCGUCAAGAUCACAGGGCAUCAAUCUCAGCUCACAGCUGUUAAAAGAGUCAAGAGCAUAUGCAUCAGAUGGUAACAUAUAUAGACGAUAGAGAAUUGCUUAUAUACUUCUCCUCAAUGCGCUGGAGUCCUCCCUGUGAGAUCUUGUUCCAGUGGCUCGGGUCUUCUUGGCACUUCCCAAAGAAGUCCACAAGCAGUGCGGAGGCCUUGUCAUUCUGAUAAGGAUCGAUGUGGUAGCCGGACACACCAUUCACAAUGAUCUCAGCUGGACCACCGUAUGCAGUGGCGAAUGUUGGAAGACCACAUGUCAUGGCCUCUAUCACUGUAAGACCGAAAGCCUCAUAGAAAGCAGGCUGAGUACAGGAAGCCAAACACGAAAAAGUGUCAGAACUAGUAAAUGUCGUGAUUCAGUCGUACUGAGUUCCUAUGUUGACGAUGUUCCUCACCUGCACAAAGGCUCCCUUCAUGUCACAGAUGUAGCGGUAGAGCUCACCGUUGCGGACGCGGUUCAUCUGAGCAGAGAUCCAGCGGAUGUGACCACUCAGGUUGUACUUUUCUAUAAGAUCAAACAUCUUCUUGAACUCUACUUGCUCCUCCUUGUCCUUGGACACCUUUCCAUGGUCACCACAGACAACCACCAGGUUUACCAGCUCCUGUAGGCGAGGAUUCCGCCCAUACAUUUCUACCAGGCCAGUCAUAUUCUUGACACGGUCCAGCCUAGCCAUCGAGAAGAUGAUCGGCUUCUUCUUGUCCUUCAACACAAAUCUGGAGAGGUAGUAAAGUUAGAUAACCAGCAUGGCAGCCAAUUUAUUUUAUAAGAACUCAAGAGUAAUAUAUGAUUAUACUUGUGCUCAGCAUUCUCAACAUCACUGAAUAGUAGCUCCUCAAUCUCAGUAUGGAGGGAGGUAAGCCUCUUCUGCUGUUCAGUGUAUGGGAAGUAGAUGGACAUGUCAGCACCAGGAGACACGAUGUUGAACUUGGGGUCGAAGACAUCAAUACCAUGGACAACACGAUAGAGGCCUGGCAUUGUGAAUGCCAUGUGCGACUCGUACUGCCCUACGGUGUCCUUGCUGAAAUUUGGAUGAUAACAUUACAUCAGUUAUGAUAUUUGCAAAUGACCAGAGCAGUGUUUCUGUGAAAAAGAGAAUCUUACUUUCCGGCAAUCUCUUGGAAGGUACUGGUGAUGAUGAAGUCAGCAUGGUUCAUUGCAAUCAGGUCGGCGGUGAACUGGCAUGAGAAGUGGUAGUGAUCCUCAAAUUUCUUCCAGUAAAGGUCGGAAUUGGGAUACUUGGUUUUCUCGAGCGCAUGAGCAAUGGUACACUGCACGAGGAAAUAAGAAUUAUGAUAACAUACUAAGGGGAUGAGAUUAGAUCUUGUACUUAGCAAAAGGAGAUAGAUGGCUUACAUGAGUAACUCCCAACUUGUGUGCCAACAAACACGCGACAAGGUUACCGUCACUGUAGUUUCCAAUGAUCAGGUCAGGGUUGGCCUGCAGCUCUCCGGCGAUCUCAUGUGCCACAUCCUGAAAGCAACAGGAAAACAAAAUGAUGGAUUGCCAUUCUAAUGAAACACCACAAAUAAGCUGCUGGAAAAUGAAAUGCAUACAUCGGUGUAAGCUUCCAGGUAAGGCCAGACUUCAAAACGGGAGAUCCAUUUCCGAACAAUACCAUCUUCUGUUUUGAAUGGCACACGCAGGAUGUGGGUGUGCUCGGUGCCAAGGACCUUCUCAAGGCGCUGGCCACAGGUGGUGCCAUGUGCAUCAGGGAGCAUCCUGGUGACCUAGGUAAGGCCAAAGAUACCUCAUUACGGAUCAAUUAUAAGUUUAUAACAGAGAGCUCAUAUUUGAACAUGUUGGGUGCUAAACUUACUAUUAGAAUCUUUGGUGUAAUGUCGAGACCUUGCUGCUUGAUUCUCAACAGCAUCUCAUUCUCCAUAGCACGGACUUGGUCCAAAAUGUAGACAACCUGUGGGUUGCCAUCACAUAAGAAAAUUGGUGAUGAGAAAGAUUUCGUCGUGUUCAGUGUCAGAGUACCACAAGAGGAGAGAGGAUAACGACAUUAUCAUAUACUGAACACGACGAAAUAUGUCAAACUGUCAAAAAUGAUGUAGGGGAUUCUACCUGUCCGCCAGUAUCAGGGUACCCCAAGACAUUGGCCUGAGCGAAGUAACCAUGAGGAGAGAGGAUAACAACAUUGAACACCAUUGGGAUUGUUCCGAGGAACUUCUCCAAGGAGGAUGGAUCAGGGGCCUCGAGAAGGUCCAAGAGAAGGUGGAUAGUCUCGCUCGCACGCUGAGCACAGUCGCCCCAGCCUUUCUCCAAACCAAGUUCCUGGAACCUGAAUUAUGCAACGAAAAAAUUGAUAUGCAACGAUUUUAGUUCUUUGUUGAGAAUGAUCAUGUGUAUGAUGAUUAUAUACAGUACCGGUGGUGGAACUCGGAGUAAGGGGUGUCAGCUGGAAGGCCUGACAGAUGUGUCUCUGCCUUCCUGAGUGCACCUUGGAGGGUACCGAGACUGCGAAUUCUGUCAUUCAACAUCAUGGUCUGAAAAAGAAAGAAAAUAUUACAUGCUUAUUGUGAUUAAACUCCAGGUUUAAUAGUUCCAGUUUAAACUUUCAGUUAGCUCAUAGAUAGCGAUCAGGCUUUUGCACUUACUUAAAGAAUUUGUUCUAAAAUAUAUUUUUACUUACAAAAUGCACAUAUCAUCAGGGCAAAUGCCAAACACAUUAUGCACAUAUCAUCAGGGCAAAUGCUAUUAACAAAUUAUGUAAGCCUGUCAGUUUUCAACAACAAAGAUGUAGUUUUUCUGGAGAACCUUCAGCAAAGAUAUAGUCGAACGAUCCAAUCUACAAAGCGAGACACCGGAGAGUGUAACCUACCAUCCCCUUGUAGUUGUGCGCGCGAAGGAAGUUAAGCAAUGGGUACAUGCUCUCCUUAUCAUGGAACAGCUUCGACGACAAGUGCCUGUUCAGAAACUGCACACCGUUGCCAAUGGACUUCGACAGCGAUGGGCGUGGGAAGGAGGCGUUGAAUGGCCCAAAGUCCAGCUCAAGCACAAAGUUGUUAUCGGUGCUGCAAUUUGAACAGAAGAAGCGUUAUAUGAUAAAACUAAGGCAUAAGCUGGACUCUUUAAUCUUAAUAACUUCACAAAAUCACAGAUACCUUCCAUUCGCCAGUUGUUCCUUGAACUGCAGAUACUCAGGGACGCUUAACUCCUCAACACCAAGCUCGCUCACAUUGACCCUCACAUACUCCCAGACGCCAGGCCUUGGCCGGAUGGCGAGAGCAACCCAUGGAGGGAUGACAAUUGCCUCCUGUAUUAGAAACCAACACAUAGAUCAAGAACUGAACAUCACUGGAGUGAUACUGCAGUGAGUUUUGGUGGUGCAAACCUGUGCGCCCCUUAGGAGAUCCUCAAAGGGGGUGUUCUUCAGCUUCUCGCGCUCUGCCUCAGGGAUCGCGGCAUUGUACUCAGCAGUGAUCUGAUGGGGCUGCAGCAUCCCCUUUCCUUGGUUAACAAGCCUGAAUAAUUUAUCGCAUAACAGAAGGUGGGUCAGAUCUAUCAACAACGUUACACAAACAAAGUGUGGUAACAGUUGUACCAGUAAGACAAAUGUAAGUAGCAGUAAUAAAAUGUUCAUGUACUUCGUUAUUAUAGUAUAAAUACAAUUAGCAGUAAUAAGAAGUUAAAAGACAAAUAGAAGGAGCAGUAUGUAGAAAUGCAGGAGCAUUAUUUGAAACUUCAUCAUCCGUUCUUUUAAAAAUUUAUUAAUGGUCCUUAGUACAAACCUUUUAAAGAAAAAAGUCAUUGAUCCAGCUCAUACUGUAGCAUGACACGGAAAUACGCAAGGCAACCAUAAUUCAUCGCUUAACCGUAUCUUAUAUGCAGAGAUUUCUACAAACUGGCAGCCAGUCUAGCCUGCAAAAGAUCAAGGACAGACCUUGAGAAGACGGCGACGAGCUCAUUGGUGUGUGCAGAGAGGGAAUCGCCGAUGCGCUCCCUCACGCUGUGGACACGGCUCAGGGCGCGCUCUCCUG
rnacentral:lncRNA from 1 species